GGUCGUGUAGCUCAGCAGGUAGAGCGCACCCCUCAUAAGGGUGAGGUCCCCGGAUCGAAGCCGGGCACGACCACGA
rnacentral:tRNA from 1 species